UACGAAGGGGGCUAGCGUUGCUCGGAAUCACUGGGCGUAAAGGGUGCGUAGGCGGGUCUUUAAGUCAGGGGUGAAAUCCUGGAGCUCAACUCCAGAACUGCCUUUGAUACUGAGGAUCUUGAGUUCGGGAGAGGUGAGUGGAACUGCGAGUGUAGAGGUGAAAUUCGUAGAUAUUCGCAAGAACACCAGUGGCGAAGGCGGCUCACUGGCCCGAUACUGACGCUGAGGCACGAAAGCGUGGGGAGCAAACAGGAUUAAGAAACCCUUGUGCGUACCAA
rnacentral:rRNA from 1 species